CCAACCCCAUCACAAGGAGAUGUCUUGGCCCUGAUAUCCUGGAGCUACCCCGAUGGAAAGGCAGAUACCAAUGCCACCGCACGGGGCCCUGAACUCAAGGUGAAGAGAGAUGGAGACCCUGAGCAGAACCCCCCAGUGGAUUGCGCUGAGAGGUGGCCGUCACGGCCAGGUAUUUACUGAGUGUUGACCAUGUUCCAGGCUCUGUUCUAGACUGUGGAGAUGCAGUGGUGAAAUAGCCAACCGAAGCCCCCAGACUCAUGAAGCUUCCCUCUUGUCACAGUGAAUGAGGGAGGGCAGGCGCCAGGGGCCUGAGGCAGAAAGCAGCAUGGUGUCCUCAAGGGACAGCCAUGCCCUAUUCGGCUGGAACCCAGAGAGGAAAGGGGAGGGAGCUACACACGAGGCUGGACUGGUAGACGGGGCCCAGACCAGAGCCUUGUGACUUAGGAUGGCAAUCAUGCAAUCGCUGGAACACGUCUGUGCGAACAGUUCCAUUCCCAAACA